UGUGUGUGUGUGUGUGUGUGUGUGUGUGUGUGUGUGUGUGUGUGUGUGUUACGAGCUUCUAAAACGACAAUUGAUUACGUUUUGUUGAGGUUUCGUACGUGUGUGUGUGUGUGUGUGUACCAGCGAUCUUGCAUACCCUAGACUUGCUGCUAGCGACUAUUGAUAAUCUGUUUAGUCCUUUUUAUAUGUAUUUUUGAGGUUGUGUUCUGAGAGUGAGUUUAGGUGAAGGAGGGAGAGAGAGAGAGAGAGAGAGAGAGAGAGGGGUACCAUAACAUCUCUCUCUCUCUCUCUCUCUCUCGGUUAGUUCGGCACAUAUUAAAGGUUUUACAAUAAAGCAACGAUUUCCAAUACUCUUCGGCAUUCCAUAUGUAAGCUCACGGCACCUUCGACACAGAGAGAGAGAGAGAGAGAAUGGCAGUGUGGAAAAGAGAAUGAAAGGAGGAAAAAGGGAAGGAAAGAUAGAACUGGAAGGAAAGAAGAGAGAGAAGGAAGGAAAGGAAGAAAGAAAGAAGGAAGAAAGGAAGGAAGAGAGAGAAAGGAGGGAAGGAAGGAAGGGAGAGAGAGAAAGAAUUAUAAAAGAAUAAAAUUGAGAGAGAGAGUGUUCAAGGAUAUACUAGUUGUCACUAUGUUUAACUAUAUCUGUAUUUCACAUUAGAGAAAAUUUUAAUACAAGGUUGUUAGCAUACUAUUAUUAUCAUUAUCAUUAUUAUUAUUAAGUUUGUGUUUAUUAUGUAUAUAGCUAUUGUGUGUGUUGCUAAUUAUGUGAUUUUCGAAGGUACCAAUUUGUGUUUUUUAUAUAUUUUUUUUUAUUUGUGUGAUUGUGUCGACAUUUAUCUCUGUUCUGAUGUUAUUUUUUUUUAUAUUGCAAGAAAAAGAUUGAUUUAUUUUUAACCAUUUCUUGUUGACGUAAAGAGUUGUCAAGUGUUGCCUCUGAUUUUGGUCGUCAAAUUGUCACUUUCGGUCGUCAAAUGUCACUCGAGUCUCAGUUGCCAAAUGUUGGAUAAGUUUCGGUCAUCAAAUGUUGCUUGUGUUUUGUCAAGUGUCACUUUCGGUUGUCAAAUGUCGCUUAAGUUUUGUCAAAUGUCACUUAAGUUUUGUCAAAUGUCACAAGUUUUGUCAAAUGUCGCUUAAGUUUUGUCAAAUGUCGCUAAAGUUUUGUCAAAUGUCACUUAAGUUUUGUCAAAUGUCACUUAAAUUUUGUCAAAUGUCACUUUCGGUUCUCAAUUGUCACUCAAGUUUUGUCAAAUGUCACUUAAUUUUCAGCUGUCAAAUGUCACUUUCGGUUCGUCAAAUGUCACUUCAGUUACAGUCGUCAAAUGUCACUUUCGGUUCGUCAAUUGUCACUUAAGUUUCAGUCGUCAAAUGUCGCUCCUGUCAACAAAAUUUGGGGCUGUCGUUUUGUCUCCCCGAAAGGUACUUACGUCGAGAGAUACACCUUACGUAAUGAGGACGAGAAUUGUCGAUAUGUUUACGAAUACGUUGUCUUAUGACCAGUGUGUGUGUGUGAGUGUAUGUAUGUGUGUGUGUGUAUGUAUGUAUGUGUGUAUAUGUAUGUGUGUGUGUGUGUGUGUGUGUGUGUGUGUGUGUGUAGGUAGGUCACUCACUAAUUUCCACUGAGUUGUUGCUAGUGUAUAUUCUGCAAACUGAGUCUCCCCGAUGAUAUUGUAUACGUUUAUUUAUCGAACAUUACAACAGAUGCUUCUCAGUACUCGCUUGUCUCAUUCUCACCCCCAUAGGACUGAAGAUCUCCGAGGAAUGACUCUUCUUCACCCGAGAGGUUAUCGAAGGGAAAUCUACGAGGGAUGACAAAACAUAACCAGGAUAGAGUAUAUAAGGUGUUUAGCGUACAUGGGAAGAUGAAUUCUAGCUUGGCGGACAUCAGAGGCAGGUGGAAAUGGCUCGUCAAGAACACCAGCCGUACUUAACCCAUCCGCUGCGAUUGUCACGGGUUUUGCCUUCACUGGUAGCCUGGUAACAUACACUCCCAGGUCUUUCUCUGCCUCUGUGGUGGAUAGUGGAGUGUUUCCCAUGUGGUAUUGGUGUGCUGGAUAUCCCUUCACUGGUAGCCUGGUAACAUACACUCCCAGGUCUUUCUCUGCCUCUGUGGUGGAUAGUGGAGUGUUCCCCAUGUGGUAUUGGUGUGCUGGAUAUCCCUUCACUGGUAGCCUGGUAACAUACACUCCCAUGUCUGUCUCUGCCUCUGUGGUGGAUAGUGGAGUGUUUCCCAUGUGGUAUUGGUGUGCUGGAUAUCCCUCCCAAGGUGCAGGACUUUGCAUUUUUCUUCACUGAAUUGUAGCAGCCACUUUUUGCUCCACUCCUGUAGCUUGGCGAGGUCUUCUGGUAGGAAAUCCGCAGUCAAGGGGCUAAACACAGGCUAAUGAAACUGCCGGGGGUUUUGGUACCGUAUAAACAAUGUAUUUUUACAGUUUUACAUGAUAACAAACAGCGUGGGGUUAACUUAGGAGGUCAUGAAAGCUGUGGACAUUGUGUUAGACCAAAUAGAGUUUUAGCAUCAUGUAAACUGCGCUUGCUCAAUGGGUAUUUUUCUCCUCCUCCUCCUCCUCUUGUUUUCCCUUUUUCUUUCCUUAAUUCUCUUUCCGCUUCUCUUUCAACCUUCUAUGUCCUGUUUCCUUUUUCCUUUUGUUUCUCCGUUUUCUUUCCUUCUUUCUACCUUUUGUUAUGUUCUGUUUCCUUCUUCCUUUUUCUUUCCUUAAUUCUCUUUACGCUUCUCUUUUUACAUUCUAUUAUAUGUCCUGUUUCCUUUUUCCUUUUGUUUCUCCGUUUUCUUUCCUUCCUUCUCUUUCAACCUUCUAUUAUAUGUUCUGUUUCUUCUUCUCAUAGUAAUGAAAACGACACCAGGCACAGCGGACACUUAAACAUUAUAGACUCGACAGAUUAUCAACAAAAACAAGGAAAUUUAACAUCUGAGACAACCACAACACACACACACAUACACACAGAUACACGCACACACACACACGUACACACACACACAUACACAC